AAGACCUUGCGCUUUUGGAGCGGCCGAUGCCUGAUUAGCUUGUUGGUAAGGUAAAAGCUUACCAAGGCUUCGAUCAGUAGCUGGUCUGAGAGGACGACCAGCCACACUGGGACUGAGACACGGCCCAGACUCCUACGGGAGGCAGCAGUGGGGAAUUUUGGACAAUGGGGGCAACCCUGAUCCAGCCAUGCCGCGUGAGUGAAGAAGGCCUUCGGGUUGUAAAGCUCUUUCAGCCGGAACGAAACGGUUACGGUUAAUACCCGUGACUACUGACGGUACCGGAAGAAGGAGCACCGGCUAACUACGUGCCAGCAGCCGCGGUAAUACGUAGGGUGCGAGCGUUAAUCGGAAUUACUGGGCGUAAAGCGUGCGCAGGUGGUUUUGUAAGUCAGAUGCGAAAGCCCCGGGCUCAACCUGGGAACU
rnacentral:rRNA from 1 species